UUAUUUGAGAGUUUGAUCCUGGCUCAGGAUGAACGCUGGCGGCGUGCCUAACACAUGCAAGUUGAGCGAUUUACUUCGGUAAAGAGCGGCGGACGGGUGAGUAACGCGUGGGUAACCUACCCUGUACACACGGAUAACAUACCGAAAGGUAUGCUAAUACGGGAUAACAUAUUUGAGAGGCAUCUCUUGAAUAUCAAAGGUGAGCCAGUACAGGAUGGACCCGCGUCUGAUUAGCUAGUUGGUAAGGUAACGGCUUACCAAGGCGACGAUCAGUAGCCGACCUGAGAGGGUGAUCGGCCACAUUGGAACUGAGACACGGUCCAAACUCCUACGGGAGGCAGCAGUGGGGAAUAUUGCACAAUGGGCGAAAGCCUGAUGCAGCAACGCCGCGUGAGUGAUGAAGGCCUUCGGGUCGUAAAACUCUGU
rnacentral:rRNA from 1 species